rnacentral:rRNA from 1 species
GAUGAACGCUGGCGGCGCGCUCAACACAUGCAAGUCGAACGAUGAAGCCCAGCUUGCUGGGUGGAUUAGUGGCGAACGGGUGAGUAACACGUGAGUAACCUGCCCUUAGCUCUGGGAUAAGCCUGGGAAACUGGGUCUAAUACCGGAUAGGAGCGUCCACCGCAUGGUGGGUGUUGGAAAGAUUUAUCGGUUUUGGAUGGACUCGCGGCCUAUCAGCUUGUUGGUGAGGUAAUGGCUCACCAAGGCGACGACGGGUAGCCGGCCUGAGAGGGUGACCGGCCACACUGGGACUGAGACACGGCCCAGACUCCUACGGGAGGCAGCAGUGGGGAAUAUUGCACAAUGGGCGCAAGCCUGAUGCAGCGACGCCGCGUGAGGGAUGACGGCCUUCGGGUUGUAAACCUCUUUCAGUAGGGAAGAAGCGAAAGUGACGGUACCUGCAGAAGAAGCACCGGCUAACUACGUG